CUUCUGCGGCGGCUCUUCGGUUUGCUUUUUUCACAAUUCCUCUCGGUAACAUAACCUGCAAUUUUCAGAAAUAUUUGUUUAAAACACAGCCUAAUCAAUCCACACCAUAAUUAUUUAAGAAUCACCGUAAAUGUGAUUUUCAAUUACUUUUUUUCUUGUAAAUGUCGAUUUGCUACCGCAAAUUUAUCAUGAACGAGGCUUACGACUACCACAACCUAUCUGAGGCUUUAGUUAAAGAAAUCAUGCAGCGUCCGUUGAAGAAUGCACAAAGGAAGGAAAUUCUUAAAAUAAUAAGCAUCGUUCGCGUUGGACGAGAUGAAGAUGAUGGUUCCACAACGGAUAGCUCAGGUCGUGGCUCACCUUCGGAAGAAGAGGAUGUCAUGCAGGACGGUAAAGCGAAUCUCUGCGAAAUCGUAAAAGGUGGUCUAAAACUAAUUCGCACCAAAACUAUGGUCGAACAAACGUUGUCAGUCCGGCAAAUCACAAGAGAACUUAAUCUAACAAAAAACUUUUUGAAAAGAUUUGCAAUUUAAUGUAAUAAAAACUGUCCAAGCAAUUGA